CAACCCUCAAGCAAUGCUUGGUAUUGGGCUCCGCUGCUCACCUAGCGGGCCUUAAAAUCAGUGGCGGUGCCGUCGGGCCCUGAGCGCAGUAAAUAUCCUCGCUACAGGGACUCGGUGGACGCUGGCCAUCAACCCACAGACUCUUAA
rnacentral:misc_RNA from 2 species